rnacentral:tRNA from 1 species
AUGGGUAUAGCUCAGUGGUAGAGCACAUGCUUAGCAUGCACAAGGUCCUAGGUUCAAUUCCCAGUACCUUCA